rnacentral:rRNA from 1 species
UACGUAGGGUGCAAGCGUUAAUCGGAAUUACUGGGCGUAAAGCGUGCGCAGGCGGUUAUGCAAGACAGAGGUGAAAUCCCCGGGCUCAACCUGGGAACUGCCUUUGUGACUGCAUAGCUAGAGUACGGUAGAGGGGGAUGGAAUUCCGCGUGUAGCAGUGAAAUGCGUAGAUAUGCGGAGGAACACCGAUGGCGAAGGCAAUCCCCUGGACCUGUACUGACGCUGAUGCACGAAAGCGUGGGGAGCAACAGG